rnacentral:rRNA from 1 species
UACGGAGGGUGCAAGCGUUAUCCGGAUUCACUGGGUUUAAAGGGUGCGUAGGUGGGUUGGUAAGUCAGUGGUGAAAUCCCCGAGCUUAACUUGGGAACUGCCAUUGAUACUAUCAGUCUUGAAUACCGUGGAGGUUAGCGGAAUAUGUCAUGUAGCGGUGAAAUGCAUAGAUAUGACAUAGAACACCAAUUGCGAAGGCAGCUGGCUACACAAAUAUUGACGCUGAUGCACGAAAGCGUGGGGAUCAAACAGG